CUCUUCACAUAGGUGUUUCAUCUCGCAGCAUCACAGGACCAAGGAGAUGAAGGUGAUAGAGGUACUUACUAUCUUUCCUGAUUACAUUUAAAAGAGAUUGCUUCCAGCAAGAGAAUGAAGAAGAUUUCAUCUCAAAGGGGCAGAGAAAGAAUUUACAAUUCAAGUUUUCCAAA